rnacentral:rRNA from 1 species
GAUGAACGCUGGCGGCGUGCCUAAUACAUGCAAGUCGAGCGAACAGACGAGGAGCUUGCUCCUCUGACGUCAGCGGCGGACGGGUGAGUAACACGUGGAUAACCUACCUAUAAGACUGGGAUAACUUCGGGAAACCGGAGCUAAUACCGGAUAAUAUAUUGAACCGCAUGGUUCAAUAGUGAAAGACGGUUUUGCUGUCACUUAUAGAUGGAUCCGCGCCGCAUUAGCUAGUUGGUAAGGUAACGGCUUACCAAGGCAACGAUGCGUAGCCGACCUGAGAGGGUGAUCGGCCACGCUGGAACUGAGACACGGUCCAGACUCCUACGGGAGGCAGCAGUAGGGAAUCUUCCGCAAUGGGCGAAAGCUUGACGGAGCAACGCCGCGUGAGUGAUGAAGGUCUUCGGAUCGUAAAACUCUGUUAUUAGGGAAGAACAAAUGUGUAAGUAACUAUGCACGUCUUGACGGUACCUAAUCAGAAAGCCACGGCUAACUACGUG